rnacentral:rRNA from 1 species
UACGUAGGGUGCGAGCGUUAAUCGGAAUUACUGGGCGUAAAGCGUGCGCAGGCGGUGAGCUGUGUCCGAUGUGAAAGCCCCGGGCUUAACCUGGGAAUGGCAUUGGAAACUGGCUCGCUGGAGUGUGGCAGAGGGGGGUGGAAUUCCGCGUGUAGCAGUGAAAUGCGUAGAUAUCUGGAGGAAUACCGGUGGCGAAGGCGGCAUCCUGGACCGACAUUGACGCUGAGGAGCGAAAGCCAGGGGAGCAAACGGG